CUUAGGGCAUUGCUAGAACAAUCAUCAAUGGCUGCUCCGGGCUCCCCAGCUUGGAGAUGCUGCUAAACCCCAUGAAGAGUUACCGGAACAACAAACAUAGUCCUCAUCAUGCAGUCACAUACCUCCACUCCAUCAGGUUAUUUGUGAAUAGAGCACUGAUGGGAUCAAUGAAGAGGGACAAUGUUGAUGAUCUUUUCUUUUUCUUUUUUCUUUUUUUUUGCUUUUCAUGCUUUAAACUUGUAUUUUGAUUUUUCUU